rnacentral:RNase_P_RNA from 1 species
CGAGAUGACCGGAUGGUUGCGGGAGUGAAAGCUCACGAGGAAAGUCCGAACACCGUAGGACAGAACGCCGGCUAACUACCGGUGAAGGCGACUUCAAGGAAAGUGCAACAGAAAAUUACCGCCCGAUUUUUUCGGGUAAGGGUGAAAAGGCGAGGUAAGAGCUCACCGUCGAAACGGUAACGUUUUGAGCCGUGUAAACCCCGUUCGGUGCAAGACAAAGGGUCAAGGUUGUCCGCCGUCCUUUACAAUCGCUUGACCUAUGCGGCAACGCAUAGGCUAGAUAGAUAACCGUCAUAACAGAAUUCGGCUUACGGGUCAUGCUCGCGUC